rnacentral:rRNA from 1 species
UGUAACGCAUGGCUGGCGUCCGGGGUGAUAUGGGGGGGUGAAGAGUUAGCCGGAUUUAUUGGGUUUAAAGGGUCCGUAGGCGGACUUAUAAGUCAGUGGUGAAAUCCUGUCGCUUAAGGAUAGAACUGGCAUUGAUACUGGAAGUCUUGAGUAUAAUUGAGGUAGCUGGAAUAAGUAGUGUAGCGGUGAAAUGCAUAGAUAUUACUUAGAACACCAAUUGCGAAGGCAGGUUACCAAGUUAUAACUGACGCUGAGGGACGAAAGCGUGGGGAGCGAACAGGAUUAGAUACCCCGGUAGUC